UCCAUUCCAGCACCUCUCAGGUGGGUGCCAUUAACAUUCCAAGAGAACAAGAGAGGUGUUCAUGGGAAUGUAAAAUAAAAGAUUUUCCCAUUGCUAGUUCCAUGAUGGAAGAGAGGCGGAGUAUAAAUAUAAGGAAAUAAACACAAAGAUGGUAAAGCAAGGAAACCUUUCUUCAUUACAUGAGGACCAGACAGAACGCUACUGCUGGAUGGUUCGAAAUGUUUGUGGGAAAAAGAGCUCCAGACAAAGACCAAAUCGUGUGGAAUGCUGAUAUGUGCAACAGCAAGAAAAUGGCAUUGCUGGGAGACAGGAGACCUGAUGAAACCACAUACUGCAUUGGAUCACUGAGUUUUAAAAACACUGCAGACACUUUAAAAUUAAUAUAUCCCCCCCCCCAAACACACACACGCAUGCAUGUUCAGGCUAAAAUUAAAAAAUUAUGCACUUAAAAUAGAUGUAUGGAAGUGUUGCUAAGAUCGGACAACUAGCCAUUAUUUGACUCUAACCCCGUAAACAGGUUUACUUCUGAGUAAAUCCUAUUCUUUUCAAGAUGCUGUUGCUUCCCUGACCUGCCCUUUCUCUCCUAAAGGGAGCCCAGGGUGGUUCAGAGUAAUAGAACCAAAGUAACAUUUCAUCAAAAUAUGCUCCUCUGGACAAUGACAGCUUAAUUUUUAUUUUUAUAAUGUGAAUAGCCAAUGUUUUGUGUGGGCUUGCGUGUGAUAGACUUCUCUCAGAAACACUGUGGUUUUCACUUGAUGGCAUGCUAGCAUGAAUAUUAGUUUGGCAACUGAAAACCAAAAGCUCUCAGGUCUGAAUUCUCCCCUUUCCACAAAAUCUAUUAAAAUACUGAUGAGUGGCGCAUGUAGCUUCAAAGGGAUUUUAAUUUUUUAAAAGUUCUUCUGAGAUUAUCUCUUGGAAUCUGGAAAGACUCAUAUUGAUAGCACCUGAAAGAUCAGUAGAGGAUAGAAUUUCAGGGAUGGUCAAGGACCUCCAGGAAGCAGGGUUUUCAGAGUGUUUAAGACUUGCUUCCUUAACAGUUGCUACAUAUUGCAGUUAAUAGAUAAAUGC